rnacentral:sRNA from 1 species
UUCUAGCCCCGAUUGAAGAGAAAAUCCUUUUUUGAAAAAAAAGAUUGUAACGGAAAGCGGGAAAUAGC